rnacentral:rRNA from 1 species
GGGUUGUGAGGUUAAGCGACUAAGCGUACACGGUGGAUGCCCUGGCAGUCAGAGGCGAUGAAGGACGUGCUAAUCUGCGAUAAGCGUCGGUAAGGUGAUAUGAACCGUUAUAACCGGCGAUUUCCGAAUGGGGAAACCCAGUGUGUUUCGACACACUAUCAUUAACUGAAUCCAUAGGUUAAUGAGGCGAACCGGGGGAACUGAAACAUCUAAGUACCCCGAGGAAAAGAAAUCAACCGAGAUUCCCCCAGUAGCGGCGAGCGAACGGGGAGCAGCCCAGAGCCUGAAUCAGUGUGUGUGUUAGUGGAAGCGUCUGGAAAGGCGCGCGAUACAGGGUGACAGCCCCGUACACAAAAAUGCACAUACUGUGAGCUCGAUGAGUAGGGCGGGACACGUGGUAUCCUGUCUGAAUAUGGGGGGACCAUCCUCCAAGGCUAAAUACUCCUGACUGACCGAUAGUGAACCAGUACCGUGAGGGAAAGGCGAAAAGAACCCCGGCGAGGGGAGUGAAAAAGAACCUGAAACCGUGUACGUACAAGCAGUGGGAGCCUCUUUAUGGGGUGACUGCGUACCUUUUGUAUAAUGGGUCAGCGACUUAUAUUCUGUAGCAAGGUUAACCGAAUAGGGGAGCCGAAGGGAAACCGAGUCUUAACUGGGCGUUAAGUUGCAGGGUAUAGACCCGAAACCCGGUGAUCUAGCCAUGGGCAGGUUGAAGGUUGGGUAACACUAACUGGAGGACCGAACCGACUAAUGUUGAAAAAUUAGCGGAUGACUUGUGGCUGGGGGUGAAAGGCCAAUCAAACCGGGAGAUAGCUGGUUCUCCCCGAAAGCUAUUUAGGUAGCGCCUCGUGAAUUCAUCUCCGGGGGUAGAGCACUGUUUCGGCAAGGGGGUCAUCCCGACUUACCAACCCGAUGCAAACUGCGAAUACCGGAGAAUGUUAUCACGGGAGACACACGGCGGGUGCUAACGUCCGUCGUGAAGAGGGAAACAACCCAGACCGCCAGCUAAGGUCCCAAAGUCAUGGUUAAGUGGGAAACGAUGUGGGAAGGCCCAGACAGCCAGGAUGUUGGCUUAGAAGCAGCCAUCAUUUAAAGAAAGCGUAAUAGCUCACUGGUCGAGUCGGCCUGCGCGGAAGAUGUAACGGGGCUAAACCAUGCACCGAAGCUGCGGCAGCGACACUGUGUGUUGUUGGGUAGGGGAGCGUUCUGUAAGCCUGCGAAGGUGUACUGUGAGGUAUGCUGGAGGUAUCAGAAGUGCGAAUGCUGACAUAAGUAACGAUAAAGCGGGUGAAAAGCCCGCUCGCCGGAAGACCAAGGGUUCCUGUCCAACGUUAAUCGGGGCAGGGUGAGUCGACCCCUAAGGCGAGGCCGAAAGGCGUAGUCGAUGGGAAACAGGUUAAUAUUCCUGUACUUGGUGUUACUGCGAAGGGGGGACGGAGAAGGCUAUGUUGGCCGGGCGACGGUUGUCCCGGUUUAAGCGUGUAGGCUGAUUUUCCAGGCAAAUCCGGAAAAUCAAGGCUGAGGCGUGAUGACGAGGCACUACGGUGCUGAAGCAACAAAUGCCCUGCUUCCAGGAAAAGCCUCUAAGCAUCAGGUAACAUCAAAUCGUACCCCAAACCGACACAGGUGGUCAGGUAGAGAAUACCAAGGCGCUUGAGAGAACUCGGGUGAAGGAACUAGGCAAAAUGGUGCCGUAACUUCGGGAGAAGGCACGCUGAUAUGUAGGUGAAGUCCCUCGCGGAUGGAGCUGAAAUCAGUCGAAGAUACCAGCUGGCUGCAACUGUUUAUUAAAAACACAGCACUGUGCAAACACGAAAGUGGACGUAUACGGUGUGACGCCUGCCCGGUGCCGGAAGGUUAAUUGAUGGGGUUAGCGGUAACGCGAAGCUCUUGAUCGAAGCCCCGGUAAACGGCGGCCGUAACUAUAACGGUCCUAAGGUAGCGAAAUUCCUUGUCGGGUAAGUUCCGACCUGCACGAAUGGCGUAAUGAUGGCCAGGCUGUCUCCACCCGAGACUCAGUGAAAUUGAACUCGCUGUGAAGAUGCAGUGUACCCGCGGCAAGACGGAAAGACCCCGUGAACCUUUACUAUAGCUUGACACUGAACAUUGAGCCUUGAUGUGUAGGAUAGGUGGGAGGCUUUGAAGUGUGGACGCCAGUCUGCAUGGAGCCGACCUUGAAAUACCACCCUUUAAUGUUUGAUGUUCUAACGUUGGCCCCUGAUCGGGGUUGCGGACAGUGUCUGGUGGGUAGUUUGACUGGGGCGGUCUCCUCCUAAAGAGUAACGGAGGAGCACGAAGGUUGGCUAAUCCUGGUCGGACAUCAGGAGGUUAGUGCAAUGGCAUAAGCCAGCUUGACUGCGAGCGUGACGGCGCGAGCAGGUGCGAAAGCAGGUCAUAGUGAUCCGGUGGUUCUGAAUGGAAGGGCCAUCGCUCAACGGAUAAAAGGUACUCCGGGGAUAACAGGCUGAUACCGCCCAAGAGUUCAUAUCGACGGCGGUGUUUGGCACCUCGAUGUCGGCUCAUCACAUCCUGGGGCUGAAGUAGGUCCCAAGGGUAUGGCUGUUCGCCAUUUAAAGUGGUACGCGAGCUGGGUUUAGAACGUCGUGAGACAGUUCGGUCCCUAUCUGCCGUGGGCGCUGGAGAACUGAGGGGGGCUGCUCCUAGUACGAGAGGACCGGAGUGGACGCAUCACUGGUGUUCGGGUUGUCAUGCCAAUGGCACUGCCCGGUAGCUAAAUGCGGAAGAGAUAAGUGCUGAAAGCAUCUAAGCACGAAACUUGCCCCGAGAUGAGUUCUCCCUGACUCCUUGAGAGUCCUGAAGGAACGUUGAAGACGACGACGUUGAUAGGCCGGGUGUGUAAGCGCAGCGAUGCGUUGAGCUAACCGGUACUAAUGAACCGUGAGGCUUAACCUUACAACGCCGAAG